rfam:Triticum aestivum genome assembly, contig: Triticum_aestivum_CS42_TGACv1_scaffold_210762_3AS
UAACUACUCUCUCCAUCCGAAAAUACUUGUUAUAAAAAUGGAUACAAUUGGUUGUGUCUAAAACUAAAAUACAUUUAGAUACAUUUAUUUUUUGAACAAGUAUUUUCGGACGGAGGGAGUACGAG